UGUGUCCUGUCCUGCUAUAUUUUAAAGCCAUCAGAGUCCUUUAAAUAAAUUAAAUACAUUUCUGUUGUUUAGACACAUGGACUUUCAGCUGUGGUAUGACUUAAUGGUGACUGAUAUAGUGAUUAUUUACUAGACUAAACCUUACAAUUAUUGCACUGAUGCCUGAAAGCAUUUCCUCUCAAUGUAGCAUUUGUCAGAUACUGUUCUUUGGUUUUGUUAAAAAAAUUCAAUCAGCAGGGCCUUCUCUCUAAAAAUAAAAGAUGGUUCUUUAAAGGUUCUUUACAUCUAUUUAGAACCAUAGCAUCCUGAAGAACACUUUUAUGAUGAAAUGGUUCUCCAAAUGGUUUUCCAGCCUUUUUGUUUUUCAAAUCAGUAACUUCACCUCUUUACUGAUUUUCUGGAGCUCAGGGAUCAAACUACACCGACUGUCAACACACUCUCAACAGUUUCAUCACGUCCAACAACCUCAUCCUCAGAGAGAAACUGCCCCACAAUCACACCAAAGUGAUAGACUUAACGGCAUCAUUGCACAUGCACAUGCUUACGAUUGUGAAGAUUUUUCAUUGGAGCUUUGUCUUCAUCACAUCUAUUUUUUGUUUUACUUCUUUAUGUAUUUAUUAAUGUUCCAUUUCAAUUGAAUGCAUGUAUUACAAUGAAUGUAUAACAAUAAUAACUGUUGUUAUGAGCACUGACAUAUUUGCUGAAAUUCCACAUCAAUAAAAAGUAACUAAUUCGCACAAUAUAUUUUUGCUAUUGUUGUUGUUUUCAUGUAAAUCCCUAAUAGAAACUACACACAUUGCAUUGCUGAUUUUCUGGAGCUCAACCAUCCAACUACACAGACUGUCAACACGCUCUUAACAGAACAUGAAAGUGCAACCAGCUCUGUUCAGAUAAGGAUACGUCUAUCAUCACCACUAAGUAACAAAAAUAUUGAAUUUAUAUUGUUAUAUUGUUUUUAUUUUUAAUUGGGUUUAUGCACAUACCUAGUCACAGCUUUUCCAUAUCUUAAUAUCAUUUUUUUUCUUCUUAUAACAUUGUGAAGUGCUCAGAUACUACUUUUGGCCUUCAUAAACAAUUGUUUUUACUUAAACAAAUGAAAGGAGACAUAUUUCAGAUGCUACAUCCUACGACCUUGUCACCUGCAGAGAGAAACUGCCACUCAAUAACACCAAAUCAAGUCACCUUUAUUAAUAUAGCGUUUUUAAAAUGCAGAUUGUGUCAAAGCAACAUUACAGCAUUAAUUAGGCAAAAGGACAAUAGUAAACACAAUUUUUUCAGUUAAAGAUAGUUCAUCACUGCCACUACACAUAAAUACAUAAAUACACAUAAUGAUGGGCUUAAAGGCAUCAUAGAGGAUCCUGAAGAUACAGUAGUUUACUGGAACUUGGUCUUCAUUACGCUAUUUUCUGUUUCUAUUUACACUAUUUUCUAUUAUGUUAUCAAUCUCAAUUGUAAUUUAAUAUAUUCUGCU